CUCAUUUUAACACAUGAAAACACUCAUUAGAAAGACAUCAGCCGCACAAUGCCUGACCCCCCUUUCCCUCUCUUAUCUGCCUUUCCGGUGACCGGAGUCGCACCUCCGGCGACUUCCGGCACCCCUCUUUCUCCAACUGAUGACCUCCGUCGCACACCCAUCCCCUCAUUCCUCUUUCCGGCGACACCCAUACAAACCACACGACACCCUCUGUCACUCUAACUCUCCACCGUCAACCACCGAUAACAACCACCAUCUGACACCCUCCUUCGCCGGCACCCACACACACACACACCACACCCUGGUUUUCCGACGACGAGACAGAGCGAGAGCAGACCGAGAGGGAUAGGCGACGGCGACGGUGGCGACUGCCGCCGAGUGACAUUGAUGAUAAUGAAGAUAGAGAGAAAGGCGGUGGUGAUUGUUACAGCGGAGACGGCAGCCGCGCCGCCGUCUGCGGCGGCGGCUGCGUCCGACGGCGAUGACAACGUCAACAGAGAAGGUGGUUCAGCCCUAAUGUCGGUACGGGUGUUUUAUUUCAGCUUGGGUUGGUUCGGGUCAAGGAAGGGUACGGUCAUCGGGCCAGUUUCGUUCGAGAUUCGGGUUCUCGGUUCAGCAGAUUCGUCUCGGUUCAGUCCUAUAUAGGGUUCAACAGUUUUGGGUGUUUGUUUCGGGUCAACAGUGAUUUUGGUUCGGGUUGGUCUUGACGGCAACGGAGUUCCGGCUGGCGCACAAUAGUCGUGGCAGCAAGCAUCCCCUUUGGUCUCGAAGUCCCUUGGGUAUGGUUGACCAACUUAGGACGAAUGCUUUAUCUACCGAGCAAAGCAAAGGUGAGUUCACACUACAACUAAAGCAUGCAUUCUUGGUGGGUUGGGAACUUCAUUUAUUCCAGGUGGGAUGGGAAUUUCAUAUAUUCCCGAUGGUUUGGGAACUUCAUACACUAAACAAAAAUCUACCAUGAAAGUCCCUUAUUCAUUUAUACCAAUUAAUCGUCGCCCGAGACGAACGGGAUAUUAGUUGAUAUCGCUAUUAGGUUUGACAACAUCGCACCGUGCCUUUGGAGGAGGACGAGAGCGAACUAUUAUCUGGGUAUUCUGGUCAAUGACGGUGGACAUUGAUCAAAAGGGCAAAUAACAUUUACGUUGAAGUUUCGGUACUACACAUUUAGUGGAUCAUAUAUGGGGUAGCUCCCCAUGGGUUGUUUACAACAUAGUAACUUCAUACAAAUGAUGUUUUUGGAUAAAACGAGAAAACCUUUUUCGAAAACCGUGAACUCGCUAACUUUAUGUUGACACCCUACUGCAUGCCUACAGGUUUUUAGGUACAACUGUGAACGCACGAUGCAAACGGUUGGAGUGUGUAAGUUGUACGUUUUGUAAAUUCAUCUAAAUUGUGGUUUCAAACUGAAAUGGGUUUGUCCUCUAUUUCCGCUGCAAACUUAAAAUUAUAUUUGUAAAACUUUUAAUUCAAACUACGUAAACGGUUCCAAAUAAUUUGUGGCUGGAUCCUGGGCAGUCGCACGCCUCGCGGUAUUACUCCGCAUGUAGAAUUUGAGGGUGUGACAGAUUGGUAUUAGAUCCACUGGUUAUAAUGAACUAGGUUUGAAAAUAUAAAAUAUUUUGGUUUGAAAAGUAAAAUAUUUUUAUAUGGAAACCAGUCUAUAACUGUCCUUUAAAAAGAAACCACAACAUCACACUCCAGAUUUGCAAGGUUCUACGAACUUAGCUGCUUACUUGGUAAUUGUACCCUUUGACCUUUACUUGUGUAUGAUAUAUGUAUAAAGUUUAUACAUAUAUCAUACACAACUAUAGACGUGUAUACAUACGUAUAUUUAGUAUCUAACACCAUAAUUUAUACUACACAAAAGCUUCAAACAUGAUAUAUCUUAGGAAACCACGAAUUCUCCUAACCUUGAUUCGACAUCAUAACACGUAAGUAUUAGAAAUUCGUUAUUCAUAACCUUCUUCCACACCUUUUUCCCGAUCUCAUCAUUGGACGAGAACGAACUAACGCGGUGAACGUUUACCCAACAUACAUGCUUAGGGGAAGCCUGCUACGGAUCCUAGAAGAAGGAAGUUACGCGAGCGAAUAGACGAAUGAGAGCCAUUCCUAUAUCGUGUGAUAUUAGAAGAAUCGACAACGUCAUUCACUUCCUUUUUGCUCACGCAUUUCCUUUCCCAAAUUGAGCGGUGAGCCUUGUUCCCUCAUCCGACUUAUUAUCUGGACUUUUGAAGCAUUCUAAUAAGUCUACACUUUUCGAAUUUCUGUUUGCACGUCUCGACGAGAAGCGUACGCGGUGUAUACUUCUCAUGGCAGUACUAACAAUCGCAUCGCAUUCCCAUUGAUCACAACCUUAUUUCUCCUAAUUCCUCGUUAUAUAGUUAAUUCCUAUUCAAGCUCGACGUUAUACCUCAGCAUGCUCCAAAACUCAGCAAAUUGAUAUCUUUCUUACAAAUCAGUGGAUUUGGAGACGUAAGAGGAUGAAGACACGGACCAGGCAACCUACAGAUGAGCACGAUGAUCUAGACCCAUUCAUUAGAGGACCAUUAUUCCUUGAUAACUUAUCUGGUUAUGUGAAUCUCUUCGCUAGCUCUCGUACAAACCAGCAUUUAUUGUUUAAGGCGAUAUCCUCGUUUCUAUCGUUCCUUUAUCACGACAUCCUCGUUUCUUCGUAUAGAAACCCUAACCAAAUUUCCCUCCAGUUUAUUGAAUCCCGCAAGCUCGACUCCUGGUCGAUAAACUUGAUUUCACACUUCCGCAUUGACACCCUUCGACAACGCAAGCGCUACUUCAGACCCAUUCACACAACCUAAACCGUCCAUUCGAAUUUGAUUACUUACCGUUUUGGGAAAUCACAUCCUGUUAGACGUGUCAGUAGAUUCUAAACCUACAAACCUGCACGACAAUCAUUCUUCUUUGAUUACUCCCUUCUCUGCUAAUCCUAUCGACGUAACAUUUCUCUCGGCGGAUAACAUUCUUAUUUCCCUCCUUAUACCACUUAUGUACGACCAACAAUAUCCACAUCAAAUGCGACUACUCUUCUUGCGUGAUUUCAUUAUUCGUGUUAUGCUUCACGAGUUCUCUAGUUCAUAUCUCGCCCUGUUCUGCACAAACCCCGCUCAAAUGAAUUACUCUUUAUGAAUGUGACUCGAGGAGCAACGAGCCAAGGAUGAAGUGUGUGAUAAUAGAUCACUAACAUGUGUGAUCUAUUUAUACUAAGUACGAAAGGCUUGUUCAGUGAUUGGUUGGCAUCACCUUGAUAAUGAACUUCCAGUUUGUGAAUUUUAUUGUGUUUAAUCAAUAUUUGUUUUACAAACAAGAAACUCAGUUCUAACAAUUGGUAUCAGAGCUUGGUUACGUUAAACUUGAUUUCACAAUUAGUUUAACACAAAAAGAUCAGCUCUUACAGUUCGUAGCUCAAGGUUGUAUUGUGAAGAACAAAACAAGUGUCUUUCACAUACUCUGUUUUUCUUUAAAAUGAACUUGAGAAAAUGGCACAAAAUGAUCCACACAACACCGACUUUACUAAUAAACCACAUAUCCUUGUCCUAGUGUUAAUCGAUGAUAUAUUGAUAUACUCACGAAACAAAGACGAACACGAGCACCAUCUUAGAACUAUUCUUGAGUUGUUGAAAAAGGAGAAACUGUAUACGAAAUUUUCCAAAUGCGAAUUUUGGCUUCGCGAAGUUCAAUUUCUCGGACAUGUCAACGAGAAAGGCAUACAUGUUGAUCUAUCGAAAAUUGAGGCCAUAAAGAAUUGGAGUGCACCAAAGACACCAACCGAAAUACGUCAAUUUCUAGAAUUGGCCGGUUAUUAUCGAAGAUUCAUUGAGAAUUUUUCGAAGCUUGCUCAAUCACUCACUUCUCUCACUCAAAAAGAUAAGAAAUUUGAUUGGGGAGAGAAACAAGAAGCAACUUUUCAACUGCUUAAAGACAAACUCUGUAAUGCUCCAAUUCUAUCACUCCUAGACGAUACAGAUGAUUUCGUAGUUUAUUGUGACGCCUUACGACAAGGGUUAGGAUGCGUGUUGAUGCAAAGGGAGAAAGUUAUUGCAUACGCAUCACGCCAACUAAAGAUACACGAAAGGAACUAUACAACACAUGACCUAGAGUUAGGUGCAGUGGUAUUUGCAUUAAAAAUUUAGCGUCAUUAUCUUUAUGGUACCAAAUGCACGAUAUUCACGGAUCACAAGAGUCUUCUAACAUAUAUUUAAACCAGAAAGAGUUAGAUGUGCGCCAAAGACGAUGGGUCGAAUUGUUGAAUGACUAUGAUCGUGAGAUCAAAUAUCAUACGGGCAAAGCGAACGUUAUCGCGGAUGCAUUAAGUCGAAAAGAACGAGUUAAACCUUUGCGUGUGCGAUCUUUAAGGCUCACAAUUCACAAUGACCUUACCUCUCGAAUUGGUGAUGCUCAGCAAGAAGCAUUGAAAGUAGAAAACGACAAGGCAGAAAUGCUUAGAGGUACGGAAAAACAAUUAGAACCAAAAAAGAACUGAGCCUUAUAUUUCUUGAAUAGAAUUUGGAUUCCUCAUUUUGGUGGUCUUCGAGGCCUAAUUCUUGAUAAGGCUCAUAAAUCGAAAUAUUCGAUACAUCCUGGAGCAGAUAAGAUGUAUCACGAUCUCAAGGAAUUUUAUUGGUGGCCUAAUAUCAAAGGUGAUAAUGCGACAUAUGUUGGAAAAUGUCUAACAUGUGCUAAAGUUAAUGCCGAGUACCAAAAACCUUCUGGAUUGCUACAACAAUCCGAAAUCCCUAAUUGGAAAUGGGAACAUAUUUCUAUGGAUUUCGUAACUAAAUUACCCAGGACUUCUAGUGGUCACGACAUGAUUUAGGUAAUCGUCGAUCGAUUAACCAAGUCAGCUCACUUCUUGCCUAUCCGGGAGAAAGAUAGUACUGAGGAGUUAGCUGAAAUCUAUCUCAAAGAAAUUGUAGCAAGACAUGGUGUACCUGUGCCGAUAAUCUCUGACCGAGACGGUCGUUUUAUAUUAAGGAUUUGGCAGUCUUGUCAAAAGGCCUUUGGAUCCCAAUUAAAUUUGAGCACGACAUUUCAUCCCCAAACUGACUGCCAAAGUGAACGCACAAUUCAAACUCUAGAAGAUAUGUUGCGCGCUUGUGUGAUGGAUUUAGGUAGGAAUUGGGACACUCACUUGCUUAAUUAAUUAACUAUUGUCGUUCAUGGGCUCAAAAAAUAGAAUGAAACACAACACCACAACACAUACAUACAUAAAAAUAGAAUAAAUUGAUCAUAUAUCUCAUACAAAAACAUCCAUACAAAAACAUCCAUACCGAAAUAGUCACUAUAAAAACAAAUCGAACAAUAACAAAGCAUAAAAGAAGAGAUGCCACAUACAUAUAUAUAGUUGUCAACUUGAUACAAAAUGUUUGUGAAGAAACAAAAAUAUAGUUAGAAGUUACAUUACUCCAAAAUCCAUGCCAUAAACAUAUACAAAUACAAAAUAGAUUUCUUAUUCACACAGUUCUUCGUCGUCUUCAAGUUGAUCUUAUAUGUAUCUUCAAAAAUCUCUUUUAAUAGUCUUCUAACCUGCUAAAGGUAUCUACCUUAUAAUGCGACCACAUACCAUGACUAGAGUGGAGGUGGGGGUGUAGAUGCACCAAUGACCCCUCAGAAAUAAGCCAUCUCCUUCUCUAUGGCGCUAACGCGUCUCUCAAUAGACGGAGGUGUGGCAUGGUGUGGGGGAAACGCUGGUGCUGGUGGAGAUGGUGGUGUAGGUGACAUCGGUAACGGUGGUGGUGGAGGAGGGGAUGAUGUCGGUAACGGUGGCAAUGAGGAUGAUAAGGAUCUCCAAACAAAGGAGAUGGAUAUGUGACAGUACUGUGCAUGGAAGUAGGGACAUGAUAAGGAUCUCCAAACAAAGGAGGUGAGGUCUGCAAAAGAUACCCUGACAUAGGGUAACUAGGAGUAAGUAGUGCGGGAUGGGCCGGCAGCAUACGGGUCAAAAUGAGAACCGACUGUAGAUGUAACAGAGGUAGCAAAAGAUCCGGCAAACGGAUGUGGGGAAAACGGGAUCAUCAUGGAAUGGCAACGCCUCCGAAGGGAGAGGUAACACUAUAUCGGGCGAGUGAAGUGGAGAUGGUGUCAGAGGUGAUGCAGGGGAUGAGGAUGAGAUCUCAAUAGUGGCAGCGUCGGGAUGUGCAACCUCAAGUCUAGCAAUUUCAAAAUCAAUACCGAUGCCUAGAUCAUCAUGAAGGUGCUCGACCUGAACAAUGGGGAUGACAAUGUCCUCGUCAUCGCCAUCUAGCAUAGGAUCAACAACAGGAGGGACGUCAUCGCCGCCCUCUGGGCCUACUAUAUCGAGUCGAAUCGGAAUAAACGCAACAACAUGCUCACCCUCGGGGUGGCCUUAUAUGAUCAUCUCAUGAAAGUGUGGGAUAGCAAGCACGUCAUCCACCGGUGGGAUGUUGGCUGGAUCGGGAUCAGGGAGGGCGAAUGGCUGAAAAUCAAUGUCCAUCCACUCGUCGUCGGAAACCUCGUCAUCGGAAACGAGUAUAACAGGUGGUGCAGGAUCGUCUAAUGGUAUGUGGUCGGCAUCAGAGGCGUGACCUGCUGAAUCUGUCUCUGAACUGGAUGACAUGGUCCUGGCAAAACAAUCCGUACAACGUACACAUGUGAACAACUUAUAAAUAAUAGUUUUUUUGGGCAAUUGCUCUUUUGUUUUCAUCGUUGUUUAUAUCGUGUAUUGUUUCAAGUUCGACUUAUUGUUAUCGUGUCUAAACCCCAUAGAUUUGUACCAAAUAAACUAGUAUUUGGUAUUAUCGUUUAAUAUUAUCACGUAGUAUCCUUGCAUUAUCCUUGGACACGAACACAAAAAUGGACAAAUACGGGCACUAUUGGACAAUAUGAACUUUUGGACAAACUAAAAUGGCAUAAAGAAAACAAAUGGUAAAAACGAGACGUACGACACGAACGGGACAAACGAUACGAAUAAAUCAAACCGACAUGUAGUAAACGACUAUAACAAAAUACAAGCCGUCACAAAAGCUUAUGCACUAAAAAUGUUUAUAUAUGGCAUAAGUAAUGAUUUUUAUAAAAAUUAGAUUUUUAUAAAAAUACAAGUAUUACUAUUAGUUUUUAUUAGCCCAAAUUCUUGUAAAUUAAAAAGUAGCCCAUAAGUUAAAAUUGGGCUAAUGUCCAUUUCUCAUAAAUAAAAUUUGGGCUAGGCCCACUUUACAAAAUAGUUGGACUAAAAUAUAUUUUUAGUCAAAAUUGGGCUAAAGCCCACUUUACAAAAUAGUUGGACUAAAAACCCAAUUUUUGUAAAUUAUUAUGGACUAGAUAUAUUUUUAGAAAAUAAUUUGGGCUAGGCCCAUUCUUACAGAAAUUAUUUGGGCUAAGUCCACAAUUAUCAACUAAAUUGGGAAGCCCAUUCAAAAACAAAUCAAAUAGAAUAAAUAUAUAUAAAAGGAAGUUAUAUAUAUCCAAAAACACAACAAAGGAAGCAAACGAUUACGAGAAACUAAAAACGAAAUACAAGAUAAAAUACUUGUACGAUAAACAAACACAAACCUAAGUGUCUAACGAGAUUAGAACACUUGUAGGUCAAGAAACGAACCACGAACAAGGAAUCGAAUAGAGAUUUGCACGGAACGCAAAUCUGCGAGUUCAUGUUUCCCCUUUUAUUUUGAAUGUUUAUGGUUUUAAACUUUCGGGGAUAUAUACAUGUUACAAAUAGUAUGAUGAUACGAUGAAACAAUUUUGAUCACAUGCGGAUAGGUGUUAAAAUAAAGGGACCAUUAAUGAAUAAACAAGUACCGAGUAACAAACAGAUAGAUCUAUUUGGGUUUUGGCAAGCCCCACUCUUAUCGGCAACGAUAACCACGAUUGUUAAGAGUGCCUUUGUGUCCAAACUAGUGUCGUUGACACACAUGAUAAAUUGUCAAGGUUUGGUUGCCUCCUAUACGACAUACGUAUUAGUGUCCUUGCAAAACACUAAUGAUCAUACGAUUUUUUUUAUCAUACUAUACAAAAACGAAUUUUACUACUUCAAAUGUUUUAGAGACUCAUUUGAUGCGAAAACAAAAUAACAUGAAUUCACUCAACUUUUGUUGACGUUUUCAAAAUUAACAUGUAUUACAGGAGAUUAGUGGACGGCUUUGGGAGAAAUAUGUUCGAGUGGUUAUCAAGAACGCAAGCUUUUGAGAUGUCAUUCGUUUUCAGUUGUUAUGUUGUUGUGAAACUAUUUUGAACUUUGAACAAUGUGGUUAAAGUUGUAGUUUUUAAUUUCUGAACAAGAUGUUUGUUAUGUAAGUUAUGGUUUCAAAACAAAUGUAUGGAUGAACAUCCUUUUAUGGUUUACAUAUGUUAUUUACUCGA